rnacentral:lncRNA from 1 species
AGAAAUAAAGAGAGGUGACCUUUCAGAGUCCAGCCGAUGUGGAAUCCCAGGGUUCAUAGUGCUUUCAGACUGUCUGCUACCUUUGAGUGUCCGAAGUGAGAGCUCACAUCCAUCUUCUGACCAGAAGGGGGCGUAAGUAGGGAGCAUGUAACCAGAGAAUGAAAGACAGCG